rnacentral:lncRNA from 1 species
AUAAAAUAUCAGAGUCCAUCACAUGCAGUAAGUGUAAGUGUUUUGUGGAUGUUUUGUGAAACUUCAUUGUCAUGACCUAUGUCUUACAGUGGGUGGUCAUCAAAAUGUGUGAAAGCCACUAGUUUAAGCUGAUUCUGCAUCUUUACUGAUGGAACAAAUGGAUUCCAGAGAAGCUAAGGAAAUUACUCACAUUCGCACAGCAGCUUGAAAAACACUGGAUUAAAACCAGACUUCUGACUAUUCUUGUUUUUAGGUUUCCUUUUGGGGAGUAUUACGUCGCAUAAAACAGGAAACUCUUUGGAAAAGCAGCCCAGAAAUUGUUUUGGGAAGAUAUAUUAAAUUAAAGUACAAGUUGGAUUGAGACAUAGAGACACUGAAGAAAGAACAGAUGCGUGGCUACUGGAAUGUAACUGAUAAAUAAUAUCUAAGUUGUCAGUGACAAUGACAAUGGAAGGCAAAGAAACCCACAGGACCAUUUAGAUCUGUGG